UGUACCCAAUAAAGUGGUCAGUGAGUGUAUACACACACACAAACACACACGUUCUCACCUUGCAUUAGUCGUGAAGACUGUUGUUGAUUGUUAGCGAUGGGUACCGAACUCGGUACUUUUUAAGGUACUGACCAAAUUCCAUAAAAAAGACUGAGCACCGAUUCACGUCAUUUGAAACGGUGCAUCGUUUCAGUACCCGUCCUUCAUAACGAGAAGUUGCCUAGACAGCUGCGCAUGUUCAAGAGUGUUAUGUCGAUGGUCGCUGCGAGCGAGUUGUAAACAGAGCAGCAUGGUAGAAAGAAUGCACGCUAAAGCUUGGGUCCACUUCACUAAAUGUGAUGGGAAACUGGGUGAUGAUGAAACCAGCGACAACGAUCUAAGUGAGACAUCCUCAUCUUAAUCUGCUACAGUAGGUAAAUAAAAUGUUUAAGAUAAUGUUAGCUUGAUUUGGUGUGUUCACUUUCUCCUCGGAACUCCGAAUUUCCGAAUGGAAAAACAUGAACUCGCUCUAAAGUUUGGCUUCACUUUACUAAACGCGACGGGUGAUUGGGUGAAGAAGAAACCAGUGACAACGAUCUAAGUGUGAUGCAUCAUUGUUUUAAUCAGCUCCAGCAGCUAAAUAAACUGUUUAAGAUAACGCUAGCUUGAUAAAUUAGCUUCCAUUGCCACCGUUGUUAUCAGCCCAUGGUGCGUUCGCUUUCUCCUCGGAAAUUCUAACUUCCCAGUAGGAAAAAUCAAAAGAAAAAGGACGGCAAAAGGAAUGAAGAUACACCGUAAAUUUGGUUCACAGUAAAGAUGUUUGCUUCAGUUUAAUUAUCAGUGUCAUGUUCCUGGGCAGAGGUGAGUCACACCUUCUCCUCUCACCAGACUCUGAGCUAAUUCUCCACAGGUGAGGAGCAGGGGGAGCGGCAGCUGCAGGAGAUUUCCCAAUCAGGGACGCGGGUUCAAAAGGAGGAUGGAGACACAUCACUUUGCCGGAUGAUUGCACCAGUUUAGGAUCAUCUCAUCAUCUACUCACCCUCGCUGUCUUCGUUUUCUGGAACAUACUCAUCACGUCCCAUCCUCCUCCGCCAUUCCUGUUUGGCUUUCCCUCUGCUACCUCACCCCUCCUGGAUCUCUCAUCCUCUGCCCAGCGUCCUCCCCGGCUUCCCCUCCUCUACUGAUUAACCUGAGCACCUCAGAGACUCGAGCCGUAUUGCUCAUCCCACAGGACUUCCCUGUGCGGUUUCAGUUCCCGUUUUUAUAAUAAAGACAUUUUACUUUA